rnacentral:rRNA from 1 species
UUAAUUUCUAGUAGCAAAGCUAACGCGUUAAGUUCUCCGCCUGGGGAGUACGGCCGCAAGGUUAAAACUCAAAGAAAUUGACGGGGGCCCGCACAAGCGGUGGAGCAUGUGGUUUAAUUCGAUGCAACGCGAAAAACCUUACCUACCCUUGACAUCCUCGGAACUUGUCAGAAAUGACUUGGUGCCUUUGGGAACCGAGUGACAGGUGCUGCAUGGCUGUCGUCAGCUCGUGUCGUGAGAUGUUGGGUUAAGUCCCGUAACGAGCGCAACCCUCGUCCUUAGUUGCCAGCGGUUCGGCCGGGAACUCUAAGGAGACUGCCGGUGAUAAACCGGAGGAAGGUGAGGAUGAUGUCAAGUCAUCAUGGCCCUUACGGGUAGGGCUACACACGUGCUACAAUGGGCAGUACAAAGGGUUGCCAAACCGUGAGGUAAAGCUAAUCCCAAAAAGCUGCUCGUAGUCCGGAUUGGAGUCUGCAACUCGACUCCAUGAAGUUGGAAUCGCUAGUAAUCGCGAAUCAGAAUGUCGCGGUGAAUACGUUCUCGGGCCUUGUACACACCGCCCGUCACACCAUGGGAGU